rnacentral:piRNA from 1 species
AACGGGAAAUGGAACUCUGCAUG